GAUGAACGCUGGCGGCGUGCUUAACACAUGCAAGUCGAACGAAGCACUUUAUUUGAUUUCCUUCGGGACUGAUUAUUUUGUGACUGAGUGGCGGACGGGUGAGUAACGCGUGGGUAACCUGCCUUGUACAGGGGGAUAACAGUUGGAAACGGCUGCUAAUACCGCAUAAGCGCACGGCAUCGCAUGAUGCAGUGUGAAAAACUCCGGUGGUAUAAGAUGGACCCGCGUUGGAUUAGCUGGUUGGUGAGGUAACGGCCCACCAAGGCGACGAUCCAUAGCCGACCUGAGAGGGUGACCGGCCACAUUGGGACUGAGACACGGCCCAAACUCCUACGGGAGGCAGCAGUGGGGAAUAUUGCACAAUGGGCGAAAGCCUGAUGCAGCGACGCCGCGUGAGCGAAGAAGUAUUUCGGUAUGUAAAGCUCUAUCAGCAGGGAAGAUAAUGACGGUACCUGACUAAGAAGCACCGGCUAAAUACGUG
rnacentral:rRNA from 1 species